GUGUGGCAUAGCGGUUAAGAGCGGUGGACUCGUAAUCUGUUGAACUGGGUUCAAUUCCCUGCUUCUCCA